AUGUCAAGAACAGAGGCAAUCUUGCGGCUCCUCCUGGCCCUUUGCAUCCUCCCCUGCAACACAUCCAUUUCCUCCGCCGCAUCCACCGCUGAUGCAUUCCUCCACUGCCUCGCCGCCGCCAUCCCGCCCGACCUCCUCCACACCCCGCCCUCCCCGUCCUACUCCCCGCUCCUGCUCUCCUCCGUCCGGAACCUCCGCUUCGUCACGCCCGGCACCCCACGGCCUCUCGCGAUCGUCGCCGCCGGGGAGGCCUCCCACGCACAGGCCGCCGUGCGCUGCGGCCGUCUGCACGGCGUCAGCGUCCGCGUGCGCAGCGGCGGCCACGACUACGAGGGCCUCUCCUACCUCUCCCUGGACCCCCGCGAGCCGUUCGCCCUGCUCGACCUCGCCGCGCUCCGCGCCGUCCGCGUCGACCCCGCGCGCGCCGAGGCCUGGGUCGGGUCGGGCGCCACGCUCGGCGAGCUCUACUAUGCCGUGGCCGCCGCGAGCCGCGCGCUCGCCUUCCCCGCCGGGGUCUGCCCCACCGUCGGCGUAGGUGGCCACCUGAGCGGCGGCGGCUUCGGAACGCUGAUGCGCAGGUACGGCCUCGCCGCCGACCACGUCCUCGACGCCGUCCUCGUGGACGCCAGCGGGAGACUCCUGAACAGGACCACCAUGGGGGAAGAUCUCUUCUGGGCCAUCAGGGGUGGCGGCGGCGAGAGCUUCGGCGUCGUGCUGUCCUGGAAGCUCCGGCUCGUGCGCGUGCCGGCGUUGGUCACGGUGUUCACCAUCCGUCGGUCAAGAAAGCAAUCCGCCACCCAUCUCAUAGCCAAAUGGCAAGAAAUCGCGCCCGCCCUGCCCCCGGACCUCUAUCUACGGGUCUACGUGCGUAACCAGGACGCUCAGUUUCAGUCCCUGUUUCUUGGCCGAUGCGACCGCCUCGUCAGUCUCAUGCGAGCUCACUUCUCUGAUCUUGGAAUGGUGCGAGCUGACUGCGAGGAGAUCACCUGGAUCCAGUCCACCGUGUACUUCGCGUUCCACUCCAGCUCCAAGCCAUUAGAGCUGCUCUUGGACAGGGGUACCAAGCCAGACAGCUAUGUGAAAGCUAAGUCUGACUACGUGCAAGUGCCAAUCCCAUGGCACGUCUGGGAGAGCACAUGGACAUGGCUGGCGAAGCAGGAAGCCGGGAUCCUCAUCCUAGAUCCCUACGGCGGCAGAAUGGGAAGGGUCGCGCCGUCUGCGACGCCUUUCCCGCACCGGAAGGGGAAUCUGUACAACCUCCAAUACUACUCCUCCUGGUCUGAGAAUGGAACAGAUGCGUUUGACAAGCAUAUGGCCUGGGUCAGGGGUCUGUACAAGCAGAUGGAGCCAUAUGUAUCCAAGAACCCAAGAACUGGGUAUGUGAACUACAGAGACCUGGAUCUUGGCAGGAAUGAAUUGGGCGACAAUGUGACCAGCUAUGCAAAGGCUAAAGUUUGGGGGGAGAAGUACUUCAAGGGCAAUUUUGAGAGGUUGGCAGCAGUCAAGGCCAUGGUGGAUCCUGAUGACUUCUUCAGAAAUGAGCAGAGCAUCCCACCUCUUCCUGCUGCAAAGGGAUGGAACUCCAUAUGA
rnacentral:rRNA from 1 species